UACGUAGGGGGCAAGCGUUGUCCGGAUUUAUUGGGCGUAAAGAGCGUGUAGGCGGCCAUGUAGGUCCGUUGUGAAAACUCGAGGCUCAACCUCGAGACGCCGAUGGAAACCAUGUGGCUAGAGUCCGGAAGAGGAGAGUGGAAUUCCUGGUGUAGCGGUGAAAUGCGCAGAUAUCAGGAGGAACACCGGUGGCGAAGGCGGAUCUCUGGGCCUGUCCUGACGCUCAGGCGCGAAAGCUAGGGGAGCGAACAGG
rnacentral:rRNA from 1 species